UACGUAGGGUCCGAGCGUUGUCCGGAAUUACUGGGCGUAAAGAGCUCGUAGGUGGUUUGUCGCGUUGUCCGUGAAAACUCACAGCUCAACUGUGGUCGUGCGGGCGAUACGGGCAGACUGGAGUACUGCAGGGGAGACUGGAAUUCCUGGUGUAGCGGUGGAAUGCGCAGAUAUCAGGAGGAAGACCGGUGGCGAAGGCGGGUCUCUGGGCAGUAACUGACGCUGAGGAGCGAAGGCGUGGGGAGCGAACAGG
rnacentral:rRNA from 1 species